rnacentral:rRNA from 3 species
GGGUUGUGAGGUUAAGCGACUAAGCGUACACGGUGGAUGCCCUGGCAGUCAGAGGCGAUGAAGGGCGUGCUAAUCUGCGAUAAGCGCCGGUAAGGUGAUAUGAACCGUUAUAACCGGCGAUACCCGAAUGGGGAAACCCAGUGUGAUUCGUCACACUAUCAUUAACUGAAUCCAUAGGUUAAUGAG